GUAGGGAAUAUUGGGCAAUGGAGGCAACUCUGACCCAGCCAUGCCGCGUGAAGGAAGACGGUCCUAUGGAUUGUAAACUUCUUUUAUCAUAGAGUAACCGCAGGGACGUGUCCCUGCCUGCAAGUAUAUGAUGAAUAAGCAUCGGCUAACACCGUGCCAGCAGCCGCGGUAAUACGGAGGAUGCAAGCGUUAUCCGGAUUUAUUGGGUUUAAAGGGUGCGCAGGCUGACCGGUAAGUCAGGGGUGAAACUUUACAGCUUAACUGUAAACGUGCCUUUGAUACUGCCGGACUAGAGUUUAAGAGACGUAAUUGGAAUGUGAUGUGUAGCGGUGAAAUGCUUAGAUAUAUCACAGAACGCCGAUCGUGAAGACAGAUUACGAACUUAAUACUGACGCUCAUGCACGAAAGCGUGGGGAUCAAACAGGAUUAGAUACCCCGGUAGUCC
rnacentral:rRNA from 1 species